rnacentral:snRNA from 1 species
AUCUCCAGGUUGCAGCUUUCCUCCUGAAGCUGCACACUUGGUAGAAGAGGAUGACCUUCCCUGAUAGAGAUGUUACUUCUCAUCACUCAAGGGUAUACGGUAGCUGCACUCCCCUGCCAGAACCUCCAAACGAACUCCAGUCUGUAGCUUACCAUGGGGUUGUUGUGACCCGGGUACAGGACCUGGCAUCUUGGCCCUGUUGAACUUCAUACACAUAGCCUUGGCCCACCUCCCUGGGCAGUGUGUUCCAGG